CCCUUUGAUUUGAUCAAGACCUCCUUCUGCCCCGGGGGCGACCCGGACCUCGCGGUCCGCCGGUCCCCCCGGUGGUCACCAACCAAAACUCUGCAUCAAUUGUCGUCUGAGCGUAUUGAGAAAUCAAUCAAAACUUUCAACAACGGAUCUCUUGGUUCUGGCAUCGAUGAAAAACGCAGCGAAAUGCGAUAAGUAAUGUGAAUUGCAGAAUUCAGUGAAUCAUCGAAUCUUUGAACGCACAUUGCGCCCUUCGGUAUUCCGGGGGGCAUGCCUGUUCGAGCGUCAUUACACCACUCAAGCCUGGCUUGGUAUUGGGCGCCGCGGUCUUGUCCGCGCGCCUCAACGUCUCCGGCUGAGCCGUCCGUCUCUAAGCGUUGUGGUAAAACGUCCGCUUGCGAGAUCGGAGAGCGUUGGCCGUUAAACCUCUUUCACAGGUUGACCUCGGAUCAGGUAGG
rnacentral:rRNA from 1 species